UACGUAGGGGCAAGCGUUGUCCGGAUUUAUUGGGCGUAAAGAGCGUGUAGGCGGCCAGGUAGGUCUGCUGUGAAAACUCGGAGGCUUAACCUCGAGAUGUCGGCGGAAACCAUCUGGCUAGAGUCCGGAAGAGGAGAAUGGAAUUCCCGGUGUAGCGGUGAAAUGCGCAGAUAUCGGGAAGAACACCCGUGGCGAAGGCGGUUCUCUGGGACGGUACUGACGCUGAGGAGCGAAAGCAUGGGGAGCGAACAGG
rnacentral:rRNA from 1 species